rfam:Chelonia mydas contig228142, whole genome shotgun sequence.
AUAAUUUUAACAUUAGCUUGAAUAAAAAUUUUAAAUCUGUUCUUAUCACUUUAAUAACAGAUACUUCCUCUAUCUGAGGACUAUAUGUUAAACUGAUUUUUGGAAUAGGGAGAUUGAAUAGCAGUUUACUCCAUCCACUACACACAUCGCCCUGUUAUUGCAGUACUGAACCACCAGGAACGGUGGACCUCCC